rnacentral:rRNA from 1 species
AUUGAACGCUGGCGGCAGGCCUAACACAUGCAAGUCGAGCGAGCGGCGGACGGGUGAGUAAUGUAUGGGAAACUGCCCGAUAGAGGGGGAUAACUACUGGAAACGGUGGCUAAUACCGCAUACUAUCGGAUGAACCCAGAUGGGAUUAGCUAGUAGGUGGGGUAAAGGCUCACCUAGGCGACGAUCCCUAGCUGGUCUGAGAGGAUGACCAGGCACACUGGUACUGAGCCACGUGCCAGACUCCUACGGGAGGCAGCAGAGGGGAAGAUUGCACAAGGGGCGCAAGCCUGAUGCAGCCAUGCCGCGUGUAUGAAGAAGGCCUUAGGGUUGUAAAGUACUUUCAGCGGGGAGGCGUUACCCGCAGAAGAAGCACCGGCUAACUCCGUGCCAGCAGCCGCGGUAAUAC